AUACUCUCUGAUGAUGACUCACCUUCAUUUUCUUUCAACAGUUCCAUGGGCUCCCGGUGGCACCAAAUUUUGCAGAAAUCCAACACCACCUGCUGGGAUUGAGAUUAUAUACAACUUCGGGCGGGAGGACAAUGACUAAGUAGGGUCAUCAUCGCUGAAAAAUAACAAGAGGUUGUCAAUAAUGCAGAGUGGGGAAGUGUACAACAUAUUGAGAGAAGUGAUCUCAAUCUGGUUUGUUUGUUUGUCUCAAGUUAAUUUCUAUUUUCGAAACUAAAAUUGUUGAUCUGUAUUUCCUUGUUUGCGAGUAUCUGGACUCUCGUAAUUAAAUGAUCAAAUAAUUUCCAUUUUCUUUGGAUUUUCGUUUUUCAUUUGUUCCCUCUCGGUAUUUUGGCGACCAAAUGGACGGAAAUAAUGCAGUGUGUGCAACAAACACCACUGUUUGCUGUGAAGUCCAAAUUUGUAUUCCAACAUGUUUUUGUGUAUGGCUCUGAUUUUGUGGCUUUUCCCAUUUGAUUACUGAAA